GAUGAACGCUAGCUACAGGCUUAACACAUGCAAGUCGAGGGGCAGCAUCAUCAAAGCUUGCUUUGAUGGAUGGCGACCGGCGCACGGGUGAGUAACACGUAUCCAACCUGCCGACAACACUGGGAUAGCCUUUCGAAAGAAAGAUUAAUACCGGAUGGCAUAGUUUUCCCGCAUGGGAUAAUUAUUAAAGAAUUUCGGUUGUCGAUGGGGAUGCGUUCCAUUAGGCAGUUGGCGGGGUAACGGCCCACCAAACCAACGAUGGAUAGGGGUUCUGAGAGGAAGGUCCCCCACAUUGGAACUGAGACACGGUCCAAACUCCUACGGGAGGCAGCAGUGAGGAAUAUUGGUCAAUGGGCGAGAGCCUGAACCAGCCAAGUAGCGUGAAGGAUGACUGCCCUAUGGGUUGUAAACUUCUUUAUAAAGGAAUAAAGUGAGUCUCGUGAGACUUUUUGCAUGUACCUUAUGAAUAGGACGCUAAUUCCGUG
rnacentral:rRNA from 1 species